rnacentral:rRNA from 1 species
AACGAACGCUGGCGGCAUGCCUAACACAUGCGAGUCGAACGAGACCUUCGGGUCUAGUGGCGCACGGGUGCGUAACGCGUGGGAACCUGCCCUUAGGUUCGGAAUAACUCCCCGAAAGGGGUGCUAAUACCGGAUAAUGUCUUCGGACCAAAGAUUUAUCGCCUUUGGAUGGGCCCGCGUUGGAUUAGCUAGUUGGUAGGGUAAAAGCCUACCAAGGCGACGAUCCAUAGCUGGUCUGAGAGGAUGAUCAGCCACACUGGGACUGAGACACGGCCCAGACUCCUACGGGAGGCAGCAGUGGGGAAUAUUGGACAAUGGGCGAAAGCCUGAUCCAGCAAUGCCGCGUGAGUGAUGAAGGCCUUAGGGUUGUAAAGCUCUUUUACCCGGGAUGAUAAUGACAGUACCGGGAGAAUAAGCACCGGCUAACUACGUG